CAGGGAAGAAGCGCAAGUGACGGUACCUGCAGAAGAAGCACCGGCUAACUACGUGCCAGCAGCCGCGGUAAUACGUAGGGUGCGAGCGUUGUCCGGAAUUAUUGGGCGUAAAGAGCUCGUAGGCGGUCUGUCACGUCGGAUGUGAAAGCCCGGGGCUUAACCCCGGGUCUGCAUUCGAUACGGGCAGACUAGAGUGUGGUAGGGGAGAUCGGAAUUCCUGGUGUAGCGGUGAAAUGCGCAGAUAUCAGGAGGAACACCGGUGGCGAAGGCGGAUCUCUGGGCCAUUACUGACGCUGAGGAGCGAAAGCGUGGGGAGCGAACAGGAUUAGAUACCCUGGUAGUCCACGCCGUAAACGUUGGGAACUAGGUGUUGGCGACAUUCCACGUCGUCGGUGCCGCAGCUAACGCAUUAAGUUCCCCGCCUGGGGAGUACGGCCGCAAGGCUAAAACUCAAAGGAAUUGACGGGGGCCCGCACAAGCAGCGGAGCAUGUGGCUUAAUUCGACGCAACGCGAAGAACCUUACCAAGGCUUGACAUACACCGGAAAGCCGUAGAGAUACGGCCCCCCUUGUGGUCGGUGUACAGGUGGUGCAUGGCUGUC
rnacentral:rRNA from 1 species